ACCCUUAUAUUUUUACUUUAUUUACUAGCGUGAUUAUAAUAAGAAUUUUACCGUCUCGAUCAUUGAGUAAAUAGUUUAAUUGGUCCCUAGAGGGGUUUCGGGGACGAUUAUGUGCGGAGGAUUAUUCGUAUGAGGAAAAUACGACUACGGUAAAAAUGGUAAAUUUUAGCUAGUAAAAGGUAAUUUUUAUUCGGGUAUUAUUUUUCGGGGUGUUUUUAUUUUGGAAGUUUGGUUUAAAAGGGUGUUGGUCGGCUGGGCCGAGCCAACCCAUUCUUCUUCCUUUCUCUCUCUCUCCCUCCCGAUUUUUCUUCUUCUUCCCACCCGAGUUUUUUCUCUCUACACCCAGCAGACUUCCGGCCGUCCUCCCGCCGCCGUCCGACCUCCGUUCGCCGCCGGACCGGUCCCGNNNNNNNNNNNNNNNNNNNNNNNNNNNNNNNNNNNNNNNNNNNNNNNNNNNNNNNNNNNNNNNNNNNNNNNNNNNNNNNNNNNNNNNNNNNNNNNNNNNNNNNNNNNNNNNNNNNNNNNNNNNNNNNNNNNNNNNNNNNNNNNNNNNNNNNNNNNNNNNNNNNNNNNNNNNNNNNNNNNNNNNNNNNNNNNNNNNNNNNNNNNNNNNNNNNNNNNNNNNNNNNNNNNNNNNNNNNNNNNNNNNNNNNNNNNNNNNNNNNNNNNNNNNNNNNNNNNNNNNNNNNNNNNNNNNNNNNNNNNNNNNNNNNNNNNNNNNNNNNNNNNNNNNNNNNNNNNNNNNNNNNNNNNNNNNNNNNNNNNNNNNNNNNNNNNNNNNNNNNNNNNNNNNNNNNNNNNNNNNNNNNNNNNNNNNNNNNNNNNNNNNNNNNNNNNNNNNNNNNNNNNNNNNNNNNNNNNNNNNNNNNNNNNNNNNNNNNNNNNNNNNNNNNNNNNNNNNNNNNNNNNNNNNNNNNNNNNNNNNNNNNNNNNNNNNNNNNNNNNNNNNNNNNNNNNNNNNNNNNNNNNNNNNNNNNNNNNNNNNNNNNNNNNNNNNNNNNNNNNNNNNNNNNNNNNNNNNNNNNNNNNNNNNNNNNNNNNNNNNNNNNNNNNNNNNNNNNNNNNNNNNNNNNNNNNNNNNNNNNNNNNNNNNNNNNNNNNNNNNNNNNNNNNNNNNNNNNNNNNNUGAAUACUUUUAGAAUUUUUGUAUAUUAUGUGAUAUUCAGAAGCGUUAAAUUAAGAGUGUAAUAUGAAAUUUUCGAGUUAGGGUUGUCCAUCUGCAAGGGAGAUUUUCUUAAUCUUUUCAGUAAAUUUUCCUUGGAGGUGGUCCCCGCACGACUUACUCUGGGUUUCAGGGUGAAAUUCGGGGUGGGUCGUGUCAAUAGGCCUGGCACCUGCACCACGCAUCACAAUCAUAGGCCUGUCACCUGCACCACAUAGGGGCGGCCUUUGGGUCGUGCUAUGUGUGCGGUCGCACAAGGCCUCCAAUUUUCGAGGUCCUUCGGAAAAAAAAAAUUCAUACAAAUAUGUUAUAAUUAUCAAAAAUUCUGAGAAGUUAAUAAGUGCACUUGUAGCAUAGUAGGUUAAGUCCCUUUAGUUGGUUAUUAACUUAUCAUCCACCCUAGGUCGAGGCCCUAUGGCCUACUUUUUUUAUUUUUUUCUGUCUUUUCAAGAUCAUUUGAUUCGUAUGAGGGUUGUAUCCUCAUUACAACACAAACAUCCUACAAUCUAAUAGCAAUAGUUCAUAGACAUGUUUCUAAACAAACUAAAAGCAAGAAAAUAAAAGCUCUCCAUGUGAAAAGCAUAUAUGGACUAAGAGCAAUUGUUCCGAAACAAGCAAAAACAAAAUUGAAAAUGCAAAAAGGGAAAUAGAAAAAAAAAGACUUCAAAGAACCUCCUUACCCUAGGACAUCUUCUCUUCUUCUUAGGAGGAGAAAAGACACAAUCUGAGAGAUUGACAACCUUCGAGUUAGCUAAGGCUAACGAGGCAGCGAAGGAUCUGAUAACCUCAUCAAUGGACAAAAUUUGGGUUGUUGACAAUGCUUGGCUAGGUUACGUUUUGAAAACCGAAAGAGAAUGCCAAGACGAGUGAGGCAGCAAACGAUCUCGUGACCUCGUCGAUGGAAAAGGUUUGAGAUCCCACGGCAGAGUUCGACAUAGGGUUCUUCGAACAAGAGGAGGAGGAGAUGCCAAGAAAGGCCAUGCUAGGGUUUCCUCCAAGAGAUGAUAGUGAUAAUAAGGAUGUAGAUGAGUUUUUGGAGGCUUUUGAAGACGAGGCGGUAUUAAGUGAUGGCAGGGAAGAAACCAUGGCGUUGGUUGAUCAGUUAUUUCUAAACCAAUUUAUUUUCCUUAUUCACUACUAAAUGGCCGUUUAUAGUAUGGGUAAAUAAGGGUCAUUCCCGCAAAGGACUAAAUGAAUCUAACCACUCGAAAGAUGUCACAAAAGUGACUACUGAUCCUAGCAACCAACAGUCGAAAACCUAAUCAGUUACCUAACCUAAACUAGUCAUAAAACUAUUUAGCGACACAAACUAGACUUAUAGAUGGAGUCAAACACAAAAUUUCAAAUUAAUUGGAGUUCAUUUGGUAUGUCAAAUAAAUAUUGGAAAACAGAGGAUAGAAAGUGACGAAAACUGGUUUUUGGUUUUGGUUUUGGGAAACAAUGAAAUAAAACUAGCUAGGGAAGAUGCAAUCCACCCUGACAAUCACACACAAGACAAUUUGUUCAGUUAUAGUUCAAUUAUCUAGAUGAAGAUGCUCAACUUGGUUCGGUUCGCUUGAAACACAACCUAUUACCCUUUCUUACUUCGUACGCUAGGCAGAAAGUGCUCUACACAAACUAUUCUCAAGCAAUACAAACCUAACUUAUUAGAUUAAACAUGUAGAGAUCAUUAAGUUCUAAAAGAGUUUGAGACAUCACAAGGCAUCACAAUAAACUUAGCGCCUUGCUAAACCUAAGACUUAGUUUACUUGCUAGUGAAAACUGACAAUUGCUUCUCUAGAUAGUUUGAGGAGUCCGAUAUUGACACUGGCAUCAAACUAUCAAAGCUUUAAAACCGUAACAUGCAUACUAAGCGUGCACUCAAAACAAGCAUGAAAAAAAUUCAUCAACGUAAAAGUAGUAAACAUGCAAAAUCUCAUCUUCAAUUAAAAGAAACUAAAAACCAAAACUCAAAUCAUCUUGUUGUUCAUGUCUAGGGCUUCAAGCAACCCCUAACUAAGAGAAACUAAAUAAACAUAAUAACAAGAAAACGCAAAAGAACGAGGAGGAGAAGAGGAGAAGAAGAAGCCGUAAAAGUUGAUAGCACAGGGAUUUUAUAUUGCUUCCUUCAACCAAUCCCUCUUGAUUUAGGUUUCUUUGGAUAUUCUGAUUGGUGCACUCUGUUAGACCAAUGGAAGUAUGCCAACUCAUUUAAUUCUUCAAAAUCAGCUUCACAUCGGGGUUAUAAGUCGUAAUAUGAAGUGCAAAACUCGUCCAUGGGUCUCUCGGUGUGAGUCUCUAGGUGUGAUUUAGGCCUCAAAACACAAAUUCUCGUUAAGAGUUAUAUUCUAGCGCAUAUUGAUCUUCUGGUACUAAAUUGGCCAUAAAUUCUUCUAGGAAAAUGCUAUUCAUGAACCGUAAAAUGAGAUGGAAAGCUGACAUCCAUAACUUUCUGUUGAUAUAUGACUCAUCAUCUGUUUCUUCUCGAGCUGUCCUCAGUGUCCUGUCGAAGUUGGCUGACUUUCAUAGGCAGAUUUCCAAAUUUUGUCUUCCAAUCUCUCUUUUCCUUAUUUUCUUCUUAUUUGCUUCAAAAUACCUAGAAAACAAAUAAAUAAAGUAAAUAACUAGAAAACACACCGAACAAACAAAGAAAGUAUAGGGGAAUUUGAUAUGAAUAAUGUAUAAUUAUGCACCUAUCAUUGGUUUGGAUGCAAAGGAGCUUGGAAACGCUUCAAGGGAAGCUAGGGUUUGGCCGUUCUCCGAUGAGAGGGAGGCGGCUUAGGUAUUAGGGUUUAGGCGCCUAUUCUUUUUUCUGUGUUUAUUAUCCUUCUUUUUCCUCCUUUUUUCUGCGUUUUCUAUCCUUCUUUUUUAUCCCUUUUUUUUGCUUUUUUUCGGCGUUCUCAUUCUUUUCUCUCUUUUUUUUUCCCCUGUAUUUUUCACCUUAAAAAAAAAAAAAACAGAAAAAUUGGUCAAGAUCCUCUCACUAUGUAGGAAAACAUUGUAUAUGGCGUUUUUCUUCUUGCACUAUAGGAAAUAUCAACUUAGCCGAUGGAAUUCUAUUAAUUCCGUCGGCUAAGUAACUCUUCAUCGACGGAAGAGAAACCGUCAUCUAAGACACCGCAUCCGUCGUCUAUGAUAUCUUAGGCGACAGAAAAUAACCAUACACGUCUUCCGUCGACUAGGAUUUUCCUACACGACGUCACACUAUUCGUCGUCCAUGUUCUGUCGGCUUAGUAAACCCUAGGCGACGAAUAACUUCCGUUGGUAAGAUUUCGUCGGCGUAGAUCCUCUUAAGCGACGAAAAUGGACUGUCGAAAUAUUCCGUAUUUUAAGAUUGUCUAGGGCGACGAAUAUUGUUCCGUCGGUAUGUCUUUCUUAGACGACGAAUAAUGUUCCGUCGUCCGAAAUUUUCUUGGGCGACGAAGAUGUUUCCGUCGGUUAAGAUAUACUUGGAAGACGAAUAUUCUUUUCUUAUGCGACGAACUGUUCCGCCGCUUAAGAUUUUGAAUUAUUGCCUGACACGUUAGCAGAACGAAUAUUUUUCCGAAGCCUCUUCUCUUACGGAAUAUUCCGUCGCCUAAGAUUUUGAAUUAUUGCCUGACACAUAGCAGAACGAAUAUUUUUCCGAAACCUUUUCUCUUAGGCGACGGAAUUUUCCGUCGGCUAAGUUUACACAUCAUCCAUUUAUACACCUUUUGCCCAAAAGAGAACGCCGAAGAAAGGCAUGGUCUAGCUCCCCUCCCCCUCAUUGGAAUAUUCAUCUGAUCCAAAUCUAGUUUUGGAAGCUUUUCUUCAUGAAGUUGAUCGAUCUUUAAGAGCUGCGCGCCUCGAUCUCGAUCUCUUAGCUAAUUGGUAUAUAUGUAACUACUUUAAUUAAUAUAUCUACUUUCUUCUUUUAGGCAUAUUUUCUGCGAACUUUCGGCGAUUUGCCGGUCCAAUUUUGAUGGAUUGUUGCUUACUUGUAUGCUUAAUAUAAUUAUAUAUAUAUAUAUAUAUAUAAAUAUCUUUAGCUUUUGUAUGUAUGAUUAGUGAUUAUGUGAAUAAUAUGUUUACCAAAUUUUUGUUUUCAUUCAAAUCGAUUUGUGUAUUAUUAUCAUCAUAUGAUAAAAAAUAAAAUGAUGAAUCAUGUAAUUAAGAAUUAUAAUAUCCUUAUAUAUUCAUCAAUAUAUAUUAAUUGUUACCCUUAGAAAUCCCGUUCGAGAACCAUUAUGUUACGACUGUGUCUAACAAAAUGGUUUCUAAUUGUCCCAUAUUUGGAUAGUUUGGGAGCAUAUGACAUUGAGAUUCAGUUUGUUGUUGGUACGUUUCGUUUUCGGUUGCGGGUAUAUAUAUUUCGACAAGAUCUUCCUUUAAUUAUUGUUCCUCGAGUGCAUUCUAGGUAUAGAUAUUUGUGCACUUGGGGAACUGUAGGGAGAUGCUAUCGAAAUUUUCUCACAUAUGCGAAUUCGAAACGCCCCAACAACAAACGAAAUCACAAUGUCAUAUGCUCUCAAACGGGAUUAGGGCCCUAACCGGAGGUAUAAGGUGAAGAAUAUUAUUGGGGUAGUAAUUAAACUCCCGAGUAUGGAAAAUGAUUGGAAAAUUACGCUCAUAUAUAUGUAAAGUAUGGAAAAUUAUUGGGGGUCAGUAAUUUUCUGUAUUUUUUGAUACAACACAUCCGCCUUCCUUUAUUUUCUUCCAGUUUGAUACUUGGAUGUUUGUUUUACUCUUUUCCAGGUCUUUUCUUUUAUCUGGAAUGCUUCCAGUUUUUGUUAUGCUCAUAUGUUUGAAGUGUGGAAAAUUAUUGGGGGUCAGUAAUUUUCCUGACCAGAGCAACCAAAGUUUCUGGAUGAUUGCUAUUACUUAGAUUCCUUUCAACCAUCCUCUAAUGAUAUAAUAGGGUUGUAAACUCUCAAGUAUAAAAAAUUAUUGGGAGUCAGUAAUUUUCAUGAACAGAGCAACCAAAGUUUACUGACCCUCAAUAACCACCCUGUAACAAAAAAAAAACUGAAACUGACAACUACAGAUAAAUGAAACUGACAGAAAGAUCAAAAGAAUAGACCAAAAUUACUAAAAAAACAAGUUCAUUUACUGAAAUUCAAGAUCAUUCAUAUCUUGCAAUACUACCAAAAUACUACAUAUUUUCACAUUUUGAAGGUCCUACACCUAAAGUGACACUAAUCUUUUUGUUAUAUUGAUGUCCAUGAACUUUAGCAAGAUCUUCCUCCUCAUUUCAUUACCACCAUCUUUUGUCGGUUUUUUUCCUAUGACAUAAGCUCUCUAUAAAGUGGAGCAAAAAUGGUCCAUAGUCUGACCUGCAAUGUAUUAAGAAACAGUGUUACUAAAUUUUUCACCCCAAUAAAACAGACAAGUAAUUUCUGACCCCAAUAAAACUCUUUAAAGGAAGUUUAAAGGUACUUACGAUGUUUUGUUUUGCUGCGGGCAGGAUAAGAUAUCCUUCAGCUUGUAUCUUUCUUGAUAAACAUUUUGGUCCAGCAUCCAUCUUCUGGUUCUUUUCUCUUCAGCACUCAUCAUCGAGUAACCAUCAACCACUAUUCCUUGGCUGUCCUGCUUGUCAUAGUUUUCCCUCCAUUCCUCAGGUCCAAGCCUUGGCUGAGAGGGUAUUUGGUGGAAUCAUAUACGCGUUUGAUGAACACCAUAAUGUGCUUCACCUGUUGGUUCCAACACACAAGUAAAUUACAACUCAAACAAACUAAGAGAACAAGCAAUAAAAAAAAACAAGGUAAGAAGUUUACUGCCCCCUAGUAAACUCUUACCCUAAUAAAUCAGUUACAACUCACCACUGCCUUUGCAUUCUGAAAGUGGUUGUUGGUGUCGGCAGAGUAAUCUUUCCUUGGCAGUAGCAUUGAGUUCAGGUGAUAGAAGCAUCGAGCUUCGUUGUCAAUCAAGACCAAGGUAUAGUGGUGGCUGACCCCGUGAUGUACUGGAAUGAAAACCAGGUCCUUAUUGAAGAUGGACCACACAGGAUUAAUAAUAGAAAUCUCUAUAUCCAAUUCAUUACAUUUGAAUUCCCCCUGUUUUCCUCCUCCAGCUAGGAACUCCUUCAGUUUUUGUUCAUGUACCACUGCCGCGCACUGUAUAUAUAAAACCAAGUAGUAAGAUUGUGUUAACUGAAAAAAGUAACGGAGGAGACCGCGGUGUUGCGGCACGCUGCUAUUUCAGGUUUGACUACUUACAACUGCCUUUAUGUCUAGGAAUCCGACCGAGACCUUCUUCUUUUCCAUUUCCUCCUUCAACAUUGAGAGGUACACCCUGAUGGUUUGCAUGUACAACAUAUAUAAGUCACAAAUAAUUACAACAAAGAAUACAUCUUAGGUUACUCAAACAUCAACUUUAUUGCGGUCAGUAAGACCAGUAAUUUUUUCUCACAUUAGACACAAUCUCUCCUUUUUGAAUUAUUCUCUUCAAGUCAUCUUUGGUAAUGUCAAUGAUACCAUCACAACACUCCCAACACCGGAAAUUGUGCAGACACAAAUAAGUCAUAAGCAAGUCAAACUAGGGAAAUAAUUGUAAUGUUAUAUAUAUAUAUAUAUGUGUCACUAGGGAAGAAUAAACUUACUCAUCAUUCUCGUCCUUGUUCAAAUCAAACCAGUUCUUAUAGUGAUUCGCCACCUUUUCAUCCAAGAGCUUCUAUGUAUCAGUGUUGCAGUUCACUCCAUCAAUAACAAUACGAUUUUGGACUUUAUGCUCCACCUCCUUUGUUCUUUUUGCUGGCUUUAGCCCUUCAGGGGUGUUAUACUCCCAUUCUUCUUCUAUCCUCUUUUGUGCCCCACGCUUCUUCAGGUUGACGUCUCUUUCAAUCGAACCAGUCUCCACAGUUUGUUUUGAGCCCUUCUGCUUGGCAUGUUUCUUGAGCCCUCUUGCUUGCUGUUCUUUAUUCUUCAAGCUGGUUUCUUCAUUCAUUUUUUUUUUCGGCCAUUUGCACAGCUUGAUGAACAAGUUUGUCUAGUUUAGACAGGUUGACAUCGGUCGUCACAGGUUCAUCGUCUUCUGGAAAUACCUGUCGUAACGGAACUGGUUCUGCAACUUGUUCAAAAAACUACAUAAAAGAAAACACACAAGUUAUCCUCAAAAAACUGAAGAAAGCACAAUAUUUAUUGGGGGGUCAGUAAACGGAUUUCUACUCUUACCUCUUCAGUUCCUGGUUGAUCCUCUCUGCACUUAUAUUCUUCCUCUUCAACCGGCUUUGACCUAUCCUCCUCCUCCUCCUUCUCCUCACUUACACAUAUUAUCUGCUUUGUCUGAGCAUGUUUUGCCCCUUGUGCAACUUUUUCUUCAGAGCGUUGAUUUCAUUUUUGUGUGCCCUCCUUUCUUUCUCUAACUCAAUGAUUUGCCUGUCCGCUUUCUUUAACUUGCCGAGCAAUUCAGUGUUUUUGUUCACCAGUUCUUCAUUUGCUUUGGCAAGUUCUGUCAGCUUCUUCUUCAUAUUUUCCAUUGGCAGCUCCUGUACACGUUAUAACAACGAAAUCGUUACUGUUAAACAAUUAUAUACAAAUACACAACUUUACUGCCCCCUAGUAGACUUCUACUGGGGGUCAGUAAACAACAAUACAUUAUCUCCAUUUCUAUUUCAUGACAAUUACACACUUAAUAUACCCUAAUAAACAACUUUAUUGCCACCUAGUAAACCCAGUAUAAGUUUACUGCCCCCUGGUACUUCUACUGGGGGUCAGUAAACUUGCAAUUGAAGUUCCAUUUUCAUUGCCAAUAAUUUUACUGGGUGUUAGUAACCAUCCAAACUUACCCAAUCAAUUGUCCUUGGUGUUCUAUUGUCAUCUUGCUGUUGCUCAUCAUUGCCGGAACUCGUUUCCUCCUCAUCUAUCCAUGGACCUUCUAUUAUGAGUUCAUGUUUUUACAUUUAUACGACACAAAUCCAUUUAAUUUAGUUUUUCAAAAAACAAAAAAUACAAUGCAAUAUAUAUAUAUAUAUUUUUUUAAAAUGGCUAUAUAAAUAAAAUACCAUUAUCUCUAGCAAUUCAGGUCUUCUCAAAUACUCCUUUUCUUUGAUGAUCUCUUGUAUUGACCAUCUUAUAAAUCUGGGAGUUUCCUUCUCUUUCCCGAUAAUCCGCUUCUUUAUUUUUGUUUUCUCAAGAAACCAGUAUAGAACCAGAAGGAGACAUCCGUUCAAAACUCUUGGCUCCCCCUUUACAUGCUUGUGAAGUCCUUGGUGCAAGAAUUCUAAUACCUUAUGUGACCAGUUGUAUUUGUCAAUGCCUUCAAGGUCUUCAUACUUGAGUAUCAGUUUCCAUUCAAUGUGGUUCCCGCUUCUGCUGAAAAAUAAAGCUGCCAUAAGGUACAUUAUAACCAAAUAGUCUAUCUUCCUUGGAUCCUCUUUCUUCUUCUGAAUCUUCCUAAGCUCUUCCAUUAAUGUGUCAUCAAUAACUUUUCUGGUGAUUGUUCUUCUUGUUUGCUUUCCAAAGACAGCAGAAUCUGCCAAAUUCUUCUUACUGCCCUUGCAGCAUUUCUGGUCUAUUGUGAUAUCCACAUCCGAGCCUUCUUCGGUUAUUCCAAAAAUUGAAUGAACAUCAUGCUUCGUAAUUUUAAUCUCCCUGUUCCCAAAUAUGAAGUUUUUAUUGUCACUGUUGUAGUACCUCAUUAGGAUCUCAAAAUCAGAUUCAAACUUCUUCACUUGAUUCUCCUCAACCUUGCCCAAUCUGAAUGAUUCAAUUAUUCCCCGAAAACAAGUACUGUUUAUCAACUCCCAUGAUUCUUCUGGGAUGCUCUCCUUGUAUCUAUUCAUUAACACACAAAAUGAUGUCAGUGAGUACUUUUGUUGCACGUGUUUGAUCUUGGUCAAGUCACAUUCUCCUCCUUUUCCUUCUUCUUUCUUCCUUUUUCUUCCUCCUCCUCCUCCCCUGAAUCUGUCUCCACUUGUUUUCUUUCUCUGCCUGUUGAUCUUUUCUGAAAAAGAUGCUUUUUUAUUUCCCCCUCUUCAUCUUUAGUGUAAUCAUCAUCUUCUUCUUCUACCAGUUCUGAUUCUUCUUCUUCUUCAGCAGCGGCACCCUUUUGGACCUCUUUUCUCUUUUUCUUCGACUUUAUCUUCUGUAAAACUUCUCCUAUAUUUUGUUCUGUCCUCAUAGAAGCUACAGAUUCUUAAACCGAAUCCUCUUCCAGUAAACUUCUACUAGGGGUCAGUAAACUUCAAUACACUAUGUCCCUUUCAUAAUCAUACUAAUUAUACAUAACAGAUACCUAUUCUUACCCUAAUAAACAACUUCAUUAAACCCUAGGAAACCUAGUGGAAGUUUACUGCCCCCUAGUAAACUUCUAUUGGGGGUCAGUAAACUUCAAUACACUAUAUCCCUUUCAUAAUCAUGCCAAUUAUACACAACAGAUACCCAUUCUUACCCUAAUAAACAACUUCAUUGAACCCUAGUAAACCCAGUGGAAGUUUACUGCCCCCCAGUAAACUUCUACUUAACAAGAGUAAACAACAAUACAGUAUCUCCCUUUCAUUGUCAUGCCAAUUAUACACAGUAAAUCUUUGAAAGAAAAUCUUAAACAAAAUUAAUCUCAAUAUGUAACAGUUAUGACCAGAGAAACACUAUAAUUUUCAUGUUUUCAUAUUCAUGGCCUUUAAUCCCUAGAAUGAAGCUUCAAUAUCAUCAGAAAAGUCCAAAAUAAGCCUAAAUUCAAUAAAAUUCAAAAUGUACAUGUUUUUAUGGUUUUCCCGAGCGAGGUCGAGUGAGAGCGAUUGAAGCAGAUAUCGACGCUGAUAUUCAACUAGAGAGUGACGCCGAGCGUGAGCAAUUGAACGUGACAGCGAAGCCGAGAUUGAACCACAGAUCAACUUCGAUCGACUGAGAUUAGGGUAGAGACGAUUUCCUGCUCAACUGGGAUUUAUCUGCAUGCGGAGAGCGAUAGAUAUUUAACGAGAGAGCGACGUGGCCUGAUCGAUGGAAUCACAGAGAUCGUGAAGAACCCUAAACCAAAGAUCGUUAUCGAGUGUUAGAGAGAGAUAGAGAGAGUGGCAGAGGUGAGAGUUCGGUUGAUCGUUUAGAGUGGGAGUCUGGGAGAACAUUAUUUUUUUUUUUUUUUUUAACAUGAGAGAGAACGUAUAAUUAAUUAAUGCAAUAAGGGUAUAAUAUUAAUUGUUAGAGGUGUUAAAACAUUAUUAUGGGUUACUCAACAGUUUUUUCAUUGAAAUGGGCUUUAAAAUUCUUGUUUUUUAGUAAAUGUUUAUUUUCCCCAAGGAAGAAAAUUUCGGUAAUUACGGAAAUUUCGACCUUCCAAAAUAUGGAAAUUUCGACGAAAUAUCGAUUGCAGUAAAAAAAUGAGAAAAUUGACGGAAAUUUGAAGAAAAACAAGGAAAUUUUAAACCAAACUUUAAGAGAUGUUUGUUUUCUAUAUUAUGUACUAUAUUUGAAAUGAAAACCUUGAAUAAACAUUGAUCUAUAGGGAGUUGUAGUAAGUUAAGGUGAAAAAGUUAGCGUUGAACCAUUAAUAAUUCUUAAAAGUUUACUUUAAACAUCUUGCAUGGUGUUAAUAAGAGUUUUACCAUCUUCGUAAUAGAUUUAUAGUUUCAAAGGUCUCUUUAGAUAUUGUUGUAAGUUGAUUAAUUCGGGAAAAUUUCUACGUUGGAGAAAUUGUUGAAUGCGGUAAAAGAUAAAUUUUAGAUAUUGAAAAGGUGAAUUGUUAUUGGUGUUGGGUAUUUUUGGAGUUGGGUUGGGAAAAUUGAGAGAGAAGGCCCAAAGCCCCAAACGCUCUUAUCUCUCUCUCUCUCNNNNNNNNNNNNNNNNNNNNUACCUACUCUCUCUCUCUCUCUCUCUCUCUCUCUCUCUCUCUCUCUCUCUCUCUCUCUCUCUCUCUCCCUGCCAAAUUUUCUUCGCCGCUAUCCAUCGUCGUCCAGCCGAGAUAGGGGGUGAGCUAGGUGUCGAAAUGAAGCUUGGAGCAUCCUCUUCACGUCUAGGUAGGUGACUGGUCGGGUUGCGCUGCCGUGAGGGAGGAAUCGCACCGAGAAGGUGCGGCUGCACGGUGGCGGAGUCGUCGUCGGAACUGCCUUUUUCGACCACCAUAAACGACGUGGCUGGUCUAUUUUGGAAGCUCUCCUCCCAUACAACAAAACCACAAAAGGUUUCAUUCCCUCUUGAUCUAGGUAGGGAGAAUCAGUGAAUUGAAGUUAUAUGGCUCAAUUUACUGUUUUGAUUCGAUUACCCUAUCUAUGCUUGGAAUUUGUGUUUGUGUUAGUUAGGGAAGUUGUUGUGCGUGUUGAGACGAAGAUUGUGUCAAAUUUUGGUGAGCAUUGGAGGUGGUAGGAGUGGGGCUGCCGGCCGCCGCUGCCGGCGGAAGAGACGGCGGCGCCACCUCUUUUGGGAAAUUUUUCUGGGUGAUUUCAACAGUUUCGGUCAGAUAUCGAAAAUAUCGCGAAAUAUCGAUAGUUUCGGACCAAAAAUUUUUUGGGGGUGAGAAAAAAAAUUUCGGUGUGUGAAAAAAACGAUAUUUUUGGCGAUAUUUCGGAGAAAAUAUCGGUUUUUUCUUCCUUGAUUUUCCCAACAAAGUGUGUGUGUGUGUAGAUAUAUAUAUAUAUAUAUAUAUAUAUAUAUAUAUAUUUCCCUUGCUUUAUUUUAUCCACGAUUUUUUUGAUUAUAUAUUUUUGUUUCCUGUUAUUAUAGUGUACAACAUGGACAAGAGCUUGAUGCAAUUAGGGAGGAGGUCUCCAGUUUAUAUGAGAGGCAUUUUUGAUUUUCUUGAGUUCGUGCGUCUACAUAGUCUUCCAGACAAAGUUAUUCACAUAUGUCCGUGCAACAAAUGUCUCAAUCAGACAUCAGUAAUAUAUGAAGACAUGUAUUCUCACUUGGCACUAAACGGUAUUUGUCCUAGUUAUACCACAUAAACAUGGCACGGCGAAAAUCAAGUUCAAAUGCCUACACUUGCAGAAAUUCAAGCACAACAUAAUCAGCAGGCAGGAUCUUCCAACGCUAGUUACGGAGACCCUGCUGUGAUGAACCUCUUAAACGAUGCCUUCUCGUUCGCCGCCUCAGGAUAUCAGGAAAAUGUUGUUUAUGACAACGCCCCUAACACCUUCCCUAAUGUCUCCCACGUUGACUACAUCAGUGAUUAUGAUAAGUAUAACAGACUUGUACGGGAAGUACAAACCCCAUUGUAUCUUGGUAGUGAGCAUAUCGUGUUGGGUAUCGCCAUGGAGCAAAUGCAGAUAAAAAACAAGCAGGGAAAGACUAAGACAUGUUUUGAUGCGGAUAUUGCACUUAUGAAGAAAGUGCUUCCCAAAGGUAACAGUUGUCUGAAAAAUUUCGACCAGGUAAAAAGUAUGUUGGCUGGCCUCGGUCUUGAUCACCAAAAGAUAGAUGCUUGCGUCAAUAACUGCAUCUUGUAUUACAAAGACAACAAGGAUGAAGUUGAGUGCCCACACUGCUACAAGCCAAGGUAUGAAGCUUCCACUUCAUCUAAGCAGAGAAAGUCCAUUCUUAGGAAGGUUCUUCGUUACUUCCCGUUGGGUCCUCGUUUGCAACGUCUAUACAUGUCUUCCCAUACGGCCAAACAUAUGAGAUGGCACCAGGCAAGGCACCAAAGAGAGGAGAGGAUAGAUCUGGAUAAUCUCACACACCCCGCAUACGGGGAGGCUUGGAAGCACUUUGACCGUUCUUUUCCCGAAUUUGCUGGAGAUUGUCGAAAUGUCAGACUCGGACUUGCAACAGACGGAUUCAAUCCUACUGGAAACAUGAAUUUGUCUUACAGCAUUUCGCCUGUGAUAGUAUUUCUGUACAAUCUACCUCCCAACAUGUGUAUGAGGAAAGAGUACAAUUUCCUUACGCUUAUGGUUCCAGGGCCGUGUUCUCCAGGAAAGUGCUUGGAUGUAUACAUGAGACCAUUAAUUGACGAGAUGGACUCCCUGAUUUUUGACAGGCAUGGUCAAGCUUCAUUCAUGAUGAAAGCAGCUGUUAUUUGGACCAUCAGUGAUUUUCCAGCUUGCGGGAUGUUGUCUGGCUAACAAACUAAGGGGUACAAGAAUUGCCCGAUAUGCAUAGAUAACGUCAAUUCUAGUUGGCAAGCCGACAAAAUUUGUUUCUUGGGAUCUCGUAGACAUCUUCUCGAGGAUCACGAGUGGCGGUGGGAUGCUGAUGCAUUUGAUGGGACUGAGGAGCAUAAUCCGAAACCCCUAGGGAGGUCUGGUGAGUGAAUUUUGGAGAGACUUAACCAGCAUUGGUUCAGAUAUUUGAGCACGAGUAAAGAAGUAAUUGACUUGAAUCCUCCCACGCCUGAUGAGUUUAAGUAUUGGACGCACAAAAGUGUAUUCUUUGAAUUGCCUUACUGGUCGACCUUGAAAAUCAGACACAACUUGGACGUCAUGCACAUAGAGAAGACUGUUUGUGACAGUGUUCUUGGAACAAUUCUGAAUCUCAAACAUAAGAACAAAGACACCCCCAAAGCCCGUGUUGAUCUUAAGAUGAUGGGUAUACGCCCCCAGCAAUGGCUAGUAAAGCAAAAAAACAAAAAAAACCAUAAUGCCGAAAACAGGCUACACAGUUCAUCCUCAAAAGAAGACAGAAAUGUUUCAAUGGUUUGGAAACGUUAAGUAUCCUCACGGGUAUGCAGGGAAUAUCGCUCGAUGUAUUAAAAUGGGGGAAAAUAAGAUUAGUGAGUUGAAGACUCAUGAUUGUCAUGUUUUGCUGCAACGUCUUCUUCUCGUGGUCAUUAGACCGUAUUUGCAGAGUGAUGUGGUUGACACGUUAGUGGCUUUGUCAAAGUUCUUUCAGAGGAUAUGCGCUAAAGAGCUUAAAAAGUCUGAUUUUCGGUCAUUGUAAGAAGACAUUGUGUACAUCAUGUGCUAGCUGGAGAGGAUCUUUCCCCCCACUUUCUUUGACAUCAUGAUUCACCUCAUGAUCCACCUUCCCGAAUAAGUGUUGCUUACUGGUCCGAUACAGUAUACCUGGUGCUAUCCAAAUGAGAGGUAUGCACUCAUAUUUAUUCUAAUUAAUCAUCCUUUCAAAUUAAGAUAAAUGGUAUUUUAAAUAUUUAUUAUAAGAAUUGCAUAUAUAUUUGUUUUGCAGGCAACUGGGGGAUUUCAAGAAGAAGAACAAAAAUAAACCUUUCCCUGAAGGGUCGAUCACAGCGGCAUACAUUCAGGCUGAGUGCGUAACUUACUGCAGCGCAUAUCUCAAUGAUGAAGACACAGUGGGGGAAUCAUCUCGAGCGGGUAGUAGCCGGCAAUUCAAUCUAUUAGUUGUUUCCAAUGAUGUUGAACCGUACGGUAGGUUAAGUAAUUCUGAGAUUAAGUAAUGAUGAGAUCAAAGAGGCUCAUUGGUGUGUCCUUCAACAUUGCGAAGAAGCCGAGCGAUACUUCAAGUCCCAUUUGGAAAGGCAGUAUGGUAACGAAGUCAUACAUAAGAGAGAUUUUCCUGAUUACUUCCCUAUUUGGGUACCUUUCUAUCGAUCUCUAUAUAUGAUGUUACAUAAAUUAAAUAUAUGUUGCUUUUUUAUGUUACAUAAUGUAACAACGUUGCUCUUAAAAUUGUUAUAGAUGAUGCAAAUUCAACAGGAGUUUCCUGCUUCUUACGACCCGGAGUUGCACUUGUUGGCUGGAGGACCCCAAAGCCACAGAGUUCGUGCUGGAUAUUUUGUGAAUGGUGUUAAGUUUGUGACGUCAGAACUAGAUGAAUGCCAUGUCACCCAAUGGAGUCAUGGUUGAGGGUCUGGGUUUCAACUACUAUGGGGUUCUUGUCAGUGUCAUCGAACUAAUCUACAGCAACCGUCUGCCAGUCGUGUUGUUCAAGUGCAAAUGGUUCAAUACUGACCCAACUAGAUGGAGGAGUACAAUUCUGGAUCGUGGCUUGUUAUCAGUAGACUCAAACAAUGUAUGGUAUGAGAAUGAGCCGUUUAUUCUUGCCACCAUGGUGAAACAAGUGUUUUAUCUUGAUAAUCCGGCUAUGGGUGAGGGUUGGAAAGUGGUGCAGAUGAUGUCACAUAGAAAUAUUUGGAGUGCAGCUACACUGGGAGGGGAUGAUGAGAGUGAGGUCCAUUGAACCAAUAACAACUGAUCAACCGAAUGAACCAUAUCAAGAGGAUUCUCCACAUGUAGUCCCUAAUACUGAGGAUAUUCGUGUCAACAACCAACACGUUCCGGCUAUCAUAGGUUACCUUCUAGUUACACCAUCUGAACUGAACUUGCUACAACCUCGCAUCCCCAAUCAUGAUGACGAAGGCUUCAUAGAUGACGAAUACAUAAAGGAUGAUGAAUAUUCUGACCAAACUGAGGAGGAUGAUGAUUCAGACGACUCAGAUUAUCAUGAGUACGAUUAGUAUAUAUUACGAUUAUUGUACGUUGUACGAUUAAUAUAUAGUAUGAUUAUUCGGACGACUCUGAUUAUCAUACGUAUUUUUAAAUUUAUAAUUAACCAUAUACGUACAUACGUCAAACCAUUAAUUAUAUAAUAUUCAAUUUAACAUUUGUUGGCUAAACCUGUGAAUCUCGUCGACUAAAGUAAUGAAAUUCGUCGGCUAUAGUACUUUUAUUUAAUAUUUUCAAUUUAUUUGUUUUAUUUUUUAUUAACUAUAGCCGACGACAUUAUUGAAAAUUCGUGAUUGUGAUGAUCAAACUUGAGAAAUGAAAAUCCGACCGUCAGAUCUGACCAUCAUGAAAAAAUACAUGUAUGGGCAAAAAUUCAAGUUGAUCCGACAAGGUUAAGGGCUCGAUCCGGACGGUCAAUCCCGUAAGUUAAACCCUAAACGCACGGAAACGGUCAUUGGAUCUUCUAAAUUAUGUAUUUUGGCCGGACCUUCAACUGAAAAUAGUUUCAAAUCGAUGAGACGUAACGACUCGUAUAAAAAUUUUACGAAAAAUAACCACCGAAGAUAAGGCUACCCAUAAGGAGAAAGAAUGGAAAAUUGAAUUGACCGUAACUAUCGGCACCGAGUCUUUACCGGAAUACCGUGAUUUUUCAAUCGUAGACGUAUUUCACUAUUCUGGUCAUAUAUUAUUUCACGACUUUUUUGCGUUUGAAGGUUCUACGUAUAGUUUGUUUCUGAAAUGGAACAUUUACUUAACACUUGGUAAACAAGUUAUACAACAUUAUUAGGCAUGUUGUGAUUGUGAUGAUCAAACUUGAGAAAAGAAAAUCCAACCGUUAGAUCUCACCAUCAUGAUAAAAUAUAUGUAUGGGAAAAAUUCAACUUGGUCCGACAAGGUUAAGGGCUCGAUCCGGAUGGUCAAUCCCGUAAGUCAACUCAAAUAAAACUCAAAAUCAACAUAUAUUCACAUAUACGUAACUAUAUAUUCGUCGACGGAAUGUGAAUAAUUCGUCGCCUUUAUUCCUAAGGUGACGGAAAGUGGACUUUCCGUCGCUUAGGAUACACAAAAUAUUAGUCACGUUUCAAAAAUUUUAUGUUACUUAGGCGACGGAAAUUGUAUAUGUCGUCGGCUUGGUAAACCAAUGCGACGGAAAAUACAUUUUCUGUCGUCUAGCAUCCCAAAAUAUUAGGCGAGUGAAUUUUACGCCUUUUAUUUCCCCGAAAUUUCGUAUUACUUAGGACACGAAUAAAUGUCUUAGGCGACAAAACCUAAUUUAAAACCUAUACUAACUCCCUCGCGCAAUCCGCAAUCCACAAUCCCUAAUUAAAUUCACACCCACAAUUUGCAAAUCCCACCAGAGUCGCGCCACCAGAGCUGCGCCACCAGACCCUAUCCACGCAUCGGCCACCAAUUAAAGUGCGCGCAUCCACCCACCUCCUCCACUCAUCGCCACCGCAUACACCCGCCACUCCGAUCUCUCUGCUCUCACCUUCUCACCACCGCUACGAUCACUCUGGUUCCACCUUCUCACCGCCACUCCUUUUGCAGGUCCGUAUUCUCUCUCUUCUCAGAUUGAUCUUGCUUGUUACUUCUUAAUCGUAAACGAAUUCGUUGAUCGUGCUUCAUUAUUAUUAUUAUUUUUUUAUUAUAAAAAAAAACCAAUAUCACAUUGUAUCUUCUGCUUAAGUGGCUCACAGCUUUUGUUAGUGUUUUCUGUAUCACCAAUGCAUGAAGUCUAAAAAAAAUAAAAAAAGUGAAGAAAUACAAGUGGUUUGAUCAACCUGUAUGCUUUUCUAUGGACAAUUUUUCAUAAUCUUUAUCUAUUACUCACUCAUUUACUAACAAUUGUGUGUUAUUCAUGUGCAAGAUAUGGUGAUCAUGGGGAAGAGGAAGGGUCGAGCCACUAAGGCCAAUGCUUUGAUGAGUCAAUACGGCAGAGCGUUGGCUCAGCUAGCAGUAGCAGCCAUCCUAACCCCAUGCCGGCUGAGACAGUACCACCAGGGGCUCCCCCCUUGAUCGUGCGGCGCCCUACAGUUGACAGUUAUUCAAUGGGAUCUCAAUUGGCGUCUGUAACCGCACCCGAGACUGCAACCGCACCCGAAUCUGCAAGAUGCAUCGUCGGCAGCGCUCGAAUCAAAGUUAGAAGCCAAACAGGUAAGUGUAUUAAUUUACUGCCCCUCAGUAAACUUCUACUGGGGGUUAGUAUACUUCUACUGUGGGCCAGUAAACUUCUUCUGGGGGUCCGUAAACUUAUAAUGGGGGUCAGUAAACUUGCAGUACAAUAUGUCUCUUUCAUUUUCAUGCCACUUACACACAACAAAUAUCCUCUUGUAUAUUAAGUAUCAUAAUGUAUUUUCACAUGUUAAUUGUAGCUCUGGCCAUGAAAAAGAGACGGGGUUUUUGUUCUGGAAAGAAGUUGGAGGAUAUCGUUCAACAAACGGGACAGAAGAUCAAGCUGGAGUAUUGCCCCCGUGUAAAAGGCCCUAGUGUCAGGGGGAUAAAUAGCUUGGUGGCACAUGAUAUCAGUUGCGCCAUACAGAGUCUAGUGGGAAUGAGGGCAAGCACGUUCUACGACCUUGAUCAAACUGAGAAGUGGAAGGUGUGGAAUGCAAUGUCGGUAAGUAACUGAAAAGUAUAUGAAAAGUAAAUUUACUUAAUUACAUUAAUUUGAUAACAUAUAUAUGAUUGCUUAUGUAAUUGGAAGGCAUGAACUGACUGAAUUGACAUCUCUCUGUUGAUAAAAUUUCAUGUCUAAGGAUAUGUUUGCAUAAGGAGUUUUCUUAUAAAGUGAAAAUGUUAUGGAUUUGUGUAAAGUAUGAUUGAAUAUGUAUAAAGUAUUGUGUGCUGAUAUGAAUUGAAAUAUGUGUUUUGUGAUAAUAAUUGGGUGUGUUAAUUUUUUUUAUUUUAUUUUUAGUGCUUAACAUGGGAUUUUUUGAUUUCUUUCUUACUUAGCCGAAGUACGAGUGGGAUGAAAAUGAUGAGGCAAUGUUCAAUUGGAUACUGAUGAGAGCACAGGAGAGGUACAAGGACUGGAAGUACCAGUGCCACAAAGCUUAUCUGAAGGAAGGGUCCUCUGGCAUGCCUUCAGAUUUCAUUGGGAGAGAGGACCAGUGGGACUUUCUAUGCCAGCACUUCGAGUCAGAUGCGUUCAAGGUGAUUUUUUAAAUUACUUUCAUUGUUUUUUAUUUUUAUUUUUAAAUUACAUUCAUUGUUUCCUUUGUAUUUUACUAAUCUAUUUAAUAUUUUUUUGUGUAUAUAUUAGAGACUCUUCUUGGCAAACAAGCGGAACCGUGGGGAGAAGACUAUGCACCACCACACAGGGUCUUCUCCUAUCAUCUACACAAUGGAGGAACUCAGAAUACAAGGGGAGCAGCUUCCAAUUAUCAAAGGUUUUGAGAAGAUCUAUGUCAGGGCCGGUGAUGAAGAUACGACCAAGAAAUAUGUAAGUGUCUUUCCUUUUACUUUAUGUAAGCUUAGCAAAUGUUUCAAGCAUGUGUAAAUCCGGCUAUUGGUAUAUAUAUGAGACCAUUCAGUUGAAUCUUGGCACUGUCAAAUUACAAUGUCAUGUUUUCCUGCUUCUUCCAAAACAAAAAAGAAGUGUUAUUAUCACUGUCAUUAAUUAAUAUGUAUAGUUUUAGGGAGCAAUAAAAUUGUUUACUACGGAGCAAUUAAUGAAGAUGUUUAUUAAGGUAUCUGUUGUGUAUUGUGGCCAUGAAACUGAAAGAGAGAUAAUAAAUUGCAAGUUUACUGACCCCCAGUAUAAGUUUUCUAGGGGGCAGUAAACUUCUACUGGGUUUUCUAGGGAGUAAUAAAGUUGUUUAUUAGGGUAUGUGUUGUGUGUUGUGACCAUGAAACUGAAAGGGAGAUAAUGAAUUGCAAGUUUACUGACCCCCAGUAGAAGUUUACUGGGGGGGCAGUAAACUUCUACUGGGUUUUCUAGGGAACAAUAAAGUUGUUUAUUAGGGUAUCUGUUGUGUGUUGUGGCCAUGAAACUGAAAUGGAGAUAAUGAAUUGCAUGUUUACUGACCCCCAGUAGAAGUUUACUAGGGGGUAGUAAACUUUUACUGACCCCCAGUAGCUUCUCUGUUUAUUAUAUAACCAGUAAACUUUAUUAUGGAAACUUUAUUGAUGUAUUUUAAAUGCAUGCAGAAUGACAUGGUUGAUGAAGUUAAUAAACGAAAGGAUGCAUUUAAGGAACAACACCCUGACGCGACGGAGGAGCAGAUUAUGGAAAGUGUUCAGUCCCAACAAAUUGAGGUGUUGGGUACGGUGCUCAAAACUCGCAAAGGAAAGGAGAUCAGAGGGAUGGGACGAGGUGGCGAGCGAGACUUGAGCCAUUCUUCAAAUGGUUCCACUUCACAUAGUCGUCCUCCUAGAGUUGAUGAGCAGUAACUCCAAGAGGUGCAGCAGCGCUAUGAGCAGAGACUAAAGGAAUCAGAGGAUCGUGCCCAGCAGCAAGUUAACAGAGGUCCAGCGACGUGCCCAACAACAAUUCCAAGAGGUCCAGCAGCGUGUCCUGCGUGCUGAGUCUAUGUAUAAUGCUGUGCAGUCCCAAGUUGCAGCCUUAUAUGAGCACCUAGGUAUGCCACCUCCUCCUCCUCCACAGUUUCCUCCUCCACCUCCAGAUGCUUCUCCUCCUCCACAUGUUUCCCCACAAAACAAUGAUGAUCUAGGCGAUAAUAUAGAAUUGGACAACGGACGUCCUUAGAAUUAUUGAUUUUGUAGAAGAUUCAUAGUUUAGCUACAUUGUAUGAACAAUUUUCUACCUAGCUAGUUAAUUCAUUAAUUAUUUUGUAUAUAUGAAUAAUAUUUGUCCAUCUGUGAUCAAUAUAUGAAAAAUGGUCCAAAUCCAGUUCUUUCGGUAUAUAUGUAUCUGUAUGUGUUUCAUUAUUGUUACUGAUUUGUAAUUUUUGGAAACAGUGAAACCCAAAAAAAUAAAUAAAUAACAAAAUUUAGUGUUUUUUCAACCUAAUUAAAAUCUCUUAGGCGACUGAAACAGAAACCUUUGUCGCCCAAGAUAUUUGUCUUGGACGACGGAAACACUAAUCUUCGUCACCCAAGAUAUUUAUCUUCGACGACUGAAACACUAAUCUUCGUCGCCCAAGAUAAACAACCGAAGCCACGGAACAGUAACAUUCGUCUCCUAAGAUAAAAUACCUAGGCGACGGAAAGAGUGAGAUUCGUCACUUAAGCUAAACAACUUGUCCUACGAAUUCAAAGAUCAAUCGUCGACUAAAAACAGACACACAUUCGUCAGGCAAAAACUAUACCGACGAAUUUUCCGUCGCUUAAAAACGAUCAUAUAUUCGUCGGUAAACAUAUAUACCAACGACUGUUACGUCGGUUAAGAGGAAUAUCGUAUUCGUUGGCUACAAAUAUUUCUGACAAAAUUUUUCCGUCGAUAGAGAGUUUUAUCAACGAUUCCGUUUGUCGACAAGGCAGGUAAGUGUCCGUCGGGUUGGAUCGGUCUUAGUCAACGACUAACUGAUUUUCCGUCACUUAAGUGUCUACCUCACGACACCUAGGCGACGGAACUUAGACGACGAAUAAUUCGUCGGCCAAGAUUGUAAUCGACAGAAAUUCGGUCUUAGGCGACGAGUUUUUUCCGUCGGCUAAGUAGAUAUUUCCACUAGUGUUGCGAUUUUAUAAGGGACUAUUUUCCUACUUUUUUUUCUGCGUUCUCACCCUUUUUUUGUGCGUUUUUCUUCUUAAGAACCUUAGGAAUAUGUUAUGUCUUGUAUUUCAAUGAGAGGUUAUGGGUUUUAAUAUUGGUUUAUGUAUACGUUCGGGAUCAAAAUUUUGUAUAAGGCAACAUUCAAUAAAUAAAAAUAAAUAAAAAAGGUCACAUUCAAGAUUUCACACAGGGUCUCAUAUUACACAUGACCGGCCCUGACACCACGAACCUGGAAGGGCCAUAAUCUCAAAUCACUCUGAACACAUGCAUCACUAAAUCUUCUGCCUAUUAAUCGUUUUACAUCUGAAAGAUAUGGUAAACAAGAGCAUGGAUGCUUCAUUAGUUAUGAAAUAUGAAUAGUAAAAGUUACUGUAAACAGGGCUAUCACUGAUAAGGCUACAAAACCAUGAAAGAUAUAAAAUAAAAAUACAACGACGACGAAGUAUGGCUACAAUCCAGUUUUGCUUGAUUAAUUGAAGUACACAUAAUGGUUUGAACUUUGCUACCUCGUGAAACCCAUAGACACGUUUUAAAUUUCAUAUAUAGAAGUUAUGUAAUUGAUUGCCAAGAAAGAAAAAAAAUUCAUAUAUAGUCUCAUUCUAUGGUUACAUAUAUAGAAUAUAUUCUAUAACCAGCCAAACAGUGUAUAUACACAAGAAACCCUCAUUCAAAUUAAUCAAUAUGAAACCAGCAACGUUGAUUAGAUAUAUAUGGAGGGAGAUAAUGAGCAGUAUGAAAUUGAUGACGUACCAAAAACGGUGUUGAUCGGAUUGGUGGUGACUUGGUUCUUGUCAGCAUUACCGAUCAACCGGCCUGCAUCAGUGAAAGCAACAUAGGACGGUGUUGUUCUGUUGUGUUGCCUUGAUCAUUGGCUAUGAUUUCUACGCCAUCGUGUUGCCAAACCCCAACACACGGGAGCCUCGCCUUUUGCUGCUAAUGCCAUUAUCAAUUGUACGUAGAGAGCUUGUGCGUCUGUGAAUAUAUAUUUGUUUUAGACAGACAGAGACAAUUGAAAAGUAAUGAGUCUGAUGUGCAAGUAUAUAUAACGAGAGAUUGAACACACGGAUAAUGCAGCAGUAUUCCGUUAGGAAACUUGAUUCCUAGGUUUUCCUAAUAAGAAAACUUCAUUCUCGCUGGACUAAUACAAAUUAAACAUUCCAUAUAUACAUCCUACUAGCUAUACUACCCUCUAUAUACUUUCUACUGAGUACAUGUUGUCAUUGUAAUUUAUGGCUUCUCACUGUUGCAUCACUUGCAUGCAUCAUGACUGUACGACCCCAGAUUGCAAGACGAGUCAUUGAACUUGCCGAGAGGCAAUAGCAGGUUGCCGAAAGACAACAGUGGCCCGAAUACUAUGAUGGAAAAUGCAGUCGUUGCGUUGGGAUGCAGGCUCGCAAAUUCCAGCCUUGGUCCAUUGCAGGUUACUUGGUGCCCCAAUAAGUUGAUGUUGGAAGACUCAUCCCAUUUGGGAAUGAUAGCGCUCGAGGAAUAUAAACAGAUGAAGUCUGCAAUGAGAAGAUCAAAUUCAUGGACUUGCUAAUUUCUAUUGUUCAACCUAUGACCACUCUGCACUAAAGGCUUGGGUUAUCAUGAUUGUGGGGACUUUUGGCAAGAGAUCUUGAUAAUGUAAUGACUGAAAAUUUAAUUGUGGGUCCAAUUUUUCAUAUAUGGGGUCUGCAUAACUUGGUGACUUACCAUGUGAAUUUAAAAAUAAAAUCAAAAUAGCGAGCAAAGUUUGCUACAGAGGAUAAAUAAUAAUUGUUUAUCAUCGAACAUAUCUGGUUCUCAUUGUUCUAGGAAACAGUAUCACAGGCUAAAGGGUGCUAAUUCAUCCAAGGAAAUUCAUGAUCACCAAAUGCAGCUCCAAAUUGCAGAGAACAAAAUCUGCAAAGGCCCGUCCGGUGCUAAAUCCUGCAGUUCCAGAAACACAGCAAUCAGGAGGACGGGGAAGGAAAAGAGAAACUGUUGUAUAACAAUUACGAUUGUAUUCAACAUACAGUGAAGAGGAACAGUGGGAAUGGAAACAGCCUAGAAUUAUAUACUCAUUCAGACCGGCUCACCUUUUUGAGGGACAAAAAGGGACAGAUGAUUGGAGACCAUUGGAUCUCAAUGAACUGAAUCGAACGGUUGGUAUAAUCUUUUAAUACUUUCUCUUCUUCCUCUCCCUUCUCUAUUCUUCUGGUCUUCUUCUCUCUCUCUCUCUCUCUCUCUCUCUCUCUAUUCGUUCACACAAUUGGUCUCGUUUGAGACUCAUGGAUAAUCAAACAUGUAUGAAUGAAAAAGUUCGAAGAACUUGGGUUUGAAUCAAGGAUGCCAAAUGAAAUGAAAUCAAACAUAACAACAGACACCUAUCCCCUAUCAUUUGCAUUUGAACAACACAGACAAAGUCACAAAACCCAGAAAACCCAUGAAUCGAUUUGAUUGUAAACACUGAGUUUGCAAAAUUCAAAUGAUCCCCAUGAUAAACCUUAGAGCCUCUAAACCGAAGUCUAGUUGAACUUGAGGAAAGGGAUCAUUCAUGUUAGAUUGAAGCAACAAGGCAUAGAGAUCAAGAUUUCGCCGGAGCUGCUUGUUCACGGAGCUAUCGCCACUUCCUCGCCAGCCCGCCUUUCAGGCACCUUGUUAUUACUGAUCGCCUCGAUCACCUCCUCCGGCAGCCUCGACAUGUUGUCGGUGAGUGGGUCAGUCGUUAUAGAGAGGGGAGAGGAGAAAGUGAGAAAGGAGGCGGGGUCCGUAAAGGUUUGUUUAGUAAAUUUCAACCGUCCGAUUCGGUUCAUUAAGAUCUAAUGGCCUCCAGUCAUCUUUCCCUUUUUGUCCCUCAAAACAGUUCCGCAGGUGAGCGGGCUUGUAUUGCUUUAGGAUUAUUCACAACCCUUUUGGUUUACAGCCAUGUUUUAUUAGGUAUAUGUCCUCUUUUUUUUUUUUUUUUUGUUACUGUUAUCUAUAAUUUUGACAAAUGCAAAGGCUGAUGAGCUAUAUAUAUGAGGGCCGUAUGCAUUGAUCCUCAACACACUAGCUAGGUAACAAGAAGUUACAUAUGGAUGGAUUAUUUCAAAAGCUUAAGAUUUUCUUCGUGGGUCUUCUUGUAUUGGUGCACAAUGGUAUAAUUAUUAUUUACACCUCUCUAAUGUUUGCUUACUGUAAUAAUCUCUAUUACUAGCUAUAUAGACAUGAACUUUUUGUGUGAAUAUUAAUGUGUGUGUGUUUGUAAUGUAGGUACAAUGUUAAAUGCAAACAACAUAUGGCACCCAAAGUUCACAGGAACAUGCGAAACCCGUAGCAAAAAGUUCCAAGGAAUUUGUGCUACAAAUAGGGGCAAAUGUGUAUCUCAUUGCCGAACUGAGGGUUUUAAUAGCGGCGACUGCCGCGGUCCUAACAACAAAUGCUUAUGUAUUAGAAUUAGAUCAAUUUGUGAUUCUAAGAACAAUGGUGAUUGCUAUUCAGUUAGGACAACGAGUCCUAGCAGUUUUAGGGAAUUCCCUUAUUGCUUGACUAGAACAAAAUGAAGGAUACAAAAUCGGUGUUUAAAUCUUGGCCAUAUCUGUUUUGUUUUUGGCUACAAAAAUCCCAAAUAGGUUGGAAUAUGAUGGAAAGACACAGUGACCCGAUUAGGCGAUUACCAUGAUGGAAAAUGCGGUCCUUACAUUGGUAAGCAGGAUCGCAAAUUCAAGACUUAGACCAUUGCAUGUUACUUGGUGCCCAAUUAAGAUGAUGUUGGAAGACUCAUCUUCAUAACCUUCUGUGACAAAGCAACACUAUUCUGUAAACUAACUCUUGCAGAAAGUGCUAAUGUUGGGGAGGAAAAAUUCGGGUAGAAGAUUUCCUCACUAACCAAUCUUAACUGGAGCGGGAAUGAAAGCUUUUUCUCCUUUUGAUUAUGGAUAUGAAAAUGGACCAAAAAUUCACCAGCGAAAAUGUCUCUCACAAUCUAAAAUCUCCAAAAUGUAUUAUAUGGUGCUCUCCGACUGACUUUUCAUCCCCUUUCCAGAUCCUCUUCCAGUCAUAUAUAGCCAUCACUCCUUGACCCUUAAUGUUCAGCACGAGUGGAUCCACGACUUCGUAUUAUGGAUAUCAUGGAAAAACUCCACUACCCUUUCUUCCCGUCGUCCCGUUCUAUUUCACUUCGUCCUCAACUUGUUCUUGCCGCAUCUCCCUCUCAUGCAACUUGAUUUGACCGACACCCUAUCCGGCCACAACCAGACUUGAUCGCUACACGAUCCACGUCUGCAUGAUUUUCCUUCAACGUGACCAACUUCCACUAAAUCACGUUCAUCCAACACCGCUCCAUAAUUUCCUUCGUUGCCACGUUCUCCUUCACCUUGACUGGAUCAACAUGCUCCUCGAGCCUAUUCAUCCCCAACCAGAUUCGUCCUUUACCCAUUUCAUUCUGCUCACGGCCCAUUUACUUACAACCUAAUUUGUUCACCAUGCGAUUCGAUCACGGCCCAUUCCAUUCGUGGACGGGUUGGGACCCAAAACUUCUUGGGGCCAUACCGGAUUUGGCCGCUACCAGAUUGAUCACGAGAUGAUUUUACUCCAAAUUUGACUUUUCACGUAUAAAGGGAUGUUCAUUUGUAUUUAAAUCUUAUGGUGAAAAUAUUUGCACCCACAGCUAAUGCAGAUAAGAAGUUCCUCGUUUCCUUAAUUUGUCACUCCAAAAAAAGUCAGGGAUUGAGGAAGAGAAAUCCAAGGAAAAUUAAAAAAGAAAUCACAUCACUAAAAAAGUCAAAGCUCCCAUCACUCGGGUUGGGUUUCUAGCGUUGUGCUGAUAGCAGAUUAGCAGAUGAAACAGAAAGAAGAGAGACCGAAUGAAGAGGACACAAUAGGCGGAGAAAAUGACAUGGACUUGACGCUAGAUUGCAAACUAAUAACCAAAACCGUAUUUAAGCUAAUGUUGCAUCAUGCUGAUCAUUACAUUAAACAAUAAACCUAGUGAUCUCGCGAUGUAUGAAAUUCAGUAAAUUCACUAACUACGACAGGGCAGAAGAGUUAAAUCCCUUCUUGUUAUAUUUCUCUUCCUCUAACUUGUACCUUUCUUCUACCUUGAUCAUCUUCUCAAUUUCUUUGUUCGAUAAAACGCCUCUGUAAUUUGAAAUGGUGAUCAUUUUCUUGAUUCUGAGUCAAAAUUCCAUUGGCAUCGAUCUCAAAACAAAUAAUGAUUUUAGGUUUACCUUUUGGACCACGAGUAAUACCCUCAAGCACUAACUCACUCAGCAAUUUAUUGAUUUUGGCUAUUUUUUCUUCGCCCUCAUACACAAGAACUAUCAAAGCAGGUUGGUUAUUUUCGAUAGUUGUUGAAUAUAUAGUUUUCUUAGUGGGAAUGGUAGUGUUUUUUGGGAUAAAAACCAAAUAUUCUCCUGUGUGAGUCUCUAAACCAAUGGAAUGGGGAGUUACAUCCAACAAGAGUAAGUCUUGCACCUUCUCAAUACCACCCUGCAAAACUGCAGCUUGUACCGUAGCGCCAUAUGCAACUUUUUUAUCAGGAUUGAUACUCUUGCAAAGCUCCUUACCAUUAAAGAAGUCGCGCAAUAGUUGUUGCACCUUGGUAAUUCUACUAGAUCCACCAACAAGAACAAUAUCUUGAAUACUCUUCGUAUCCAUCUUAGCAUCCCCUAUACAUUUCUCCACAGUCUUCAUGCAUUCUCUAAAGAGAUCUAUGUUGAGCUCUUCAAAUUUUGCUCUUGUUAUUUUAGAGUGGAAGUCGAUACCCUCGAAUAAAGAAUCAAUCUCGAUGGUGGUUUCGGCUCUUGAAGAAAGAUUUCGUUUUGCUCCCUCACAUGAUGUUCUUAGUUUUCUUAAUGGUUUUGGGUCAUUACUGAUGUCCUUCAUGUGCUUCGUCUUGAACUCUUGCACAAAAUGGUUCACCAUUCUAUUAUCAAAAUCUUCACCCCCAAGAUGUGUAUCUCCUGCGGUAGCUUUCACAUCAAAAAUCCCAUCUUCAACUUGAAGGAGGGAAACAUCAAAUGUACCACCCCCAAGAUCAAAAAUGAGGACAUUAUUACCACCAAUGUUUGUAGCCUUUUUGUCAAGACCGUAUGCAAUAGCUGCGGAUGUUGUCUCAUUAAGGACACACAUCACAUUCAUGCCUGCUAUUACACCAGCAUCUUUUGUCACUUGUCGUUGAAAGUUAUUGAAGUAUGCCGGAACUGUUAUAACAACAUUCUUUAUUGUCUGUCCGAGGUAGGCCUCUGCAAUUUCACGCAUCUUACUGAAAACUAUUGAAGUAUGUCGGAACCGUUAUAACAACAUUCUUUAUUGUCUGUCCGAGGUAGGCCUCUGCAAUUUCACGCAUCUUACUGAAAACCAUUGAAGAUAUCUCUUCGGGGGCAAAUUGCUUCUUUUCAUUUUUGUAGUUGACCACAAUCAUAGGCUUGUCACUCGCACCACGAACCUUAAAGGGCCAUAAUUUCAUAUCACUCUCAACACAUGCAUCACUGAAUCUUCUGCCUAUUAAUCGCUUUGCAUCAAAAACAGUGUUGAUUGGAUUGGCGGUGACUUGGUUCUUGGCAGCAUCACCGAUCAACCGGCAUUCAUCAGUGAAAGCAACAUAGGACGGUGUUGUUAUGUUGCCUUGAUCAUUGGCUAUGAUCUCUACGCGUGUUCCCAAACCCCAACGCACGAGUAAGUAGUUCCAAGAUCGAUCCCAAUAGCUGGAGCCUCGCCUUUUGUUGCUAAUGCCAUUACCAAUGACAAUUGAAUAUAUAUAUUUUUUUAGACAAAUAGAGAUAAUUGAAACUAAAGGGUUUGAUUUGCAAGUAUUUAUACUUAUUUGCAGCAGUAUUCCGUCAGGAAACUGGAUUCCUAGGUUCUCCUAGUAAGACAACUUAAUCCUCAGUGGACUAGUACAAAUUGAAGCACACCCUAAAAGCCGAGACCUUCAUAAUCCUAAUUGUGCCAAGAAUCCUAGUUGUACAAGCUUGCUCUUCCUAUAUAUAUAUAUAUAUAUAUAUNNNNNNNNNNNNNNNNNNNNNNNNNNNNNNNNNNNNNNNNNNNNNNNNNNNNNNNNNNNNNNNNNNNNNNNNNNNNNNNNNNNNNNNNNNNNNNNNNNNNNNNNNNNNNNNNNNNNNNNNNNNNNNNNNNNNNNNNNNNNNNNNNNNNNNNNNNNNNNNNNNNNNNNNNNNNNNNNNNNNNNNNNNNNNNNNNNNNNNNNNNNNNNNNNNNNNNNNNNNNNNNNNNNNNNNNNNNNNNNNNNNNNNNNNNNNNNNNNNNNNNNNNNNNNNNNNNNNNNNNNNNNNNNNNNNNNNNNNNNNNNNNNNNNNNNNNNNNNNNNNNNNNNNNNNNNNNNNNNNNNNNNNNNNNNNNNNNNNNNNNNNNNNNNNNNNNNNNNNNNNNNNNNNNNNNNNNNNNNNNNNNNNNNNNNNNNNNNNNNNNNNNNNNNNNNNNNNNNNNNNNNNNNNNNNNNNNNNNNNNNNNNNNNNNNNNNNNNNNNNNNNNNNNNNNNNNNNNNNNNNNNNNNNNNNNNNNNNNNNNNNNNNNNNNNNNNNNNNNNNNNNNNNNNNNNNNNNNNNNNNNNNNNNNNNNNNNNNNNNNNNNNNNNNNNNNNNNNNNNNNNNNNNNNNNNNNNNNNNNNNNNNNNNNNNNNNNNNNNNNNNNNNNNNNNNNNNNNNNNNNNNNNNCAAAUGGAGAUGAUGAACCGAACAGAAUUCAGUCCGUCCAUUUGUUUUUCGAUUUUGAGGGCACUAACAAUCACCAAAUUGGCUGAAAUUUUGCAUAGAUGAUCUACACAGUAUUAUCUAGAUACUAGACGGUGGAGAUGAGGAAAUUCGAUCGAAAAGUGGUGUAAAAAUAAAAAUCCACACUAAAGUUUUGGUGCGGACGUCCGCACCUGAUCAGCUUUGUGUGUGUGUGUAUAUAUAUAUAUCAUUCCCUUUACAUAAUCUGUCUCAUUUCAUUAUCCCAAUGGGGUGAUCCCCCCUCUACUCCUCAUAAAUUAGACACACUCACUUUUACUUACCAUGAUUACAUUAAAGCAUGGACUAAAAUCUUUCUCCACCAAACUGAAGAUUUUAGCCAUUCAUGGUUCCUUAAUUUUGAUAGAAGAUUCAAUCGCCAAUUCCCUAUAUGGUUUGGAGAUUGGUGGAAUAAUCAUGGUUGCCCUCAUGACCUUCUCCCCUCAAACCACCAAGAUGCAAUCACUAAAUAACAAUUCAAUCAUAGCCUCACCUUUCAAAAUUGUUGUAGAAGAUCACUAAGAAACUUAACCCAGAAACUAAAAAACUUAUUGAACAAACUAAUUAUACAAACCAAAGUCUAGUAACAAUAGGAGCCCAGUUAGAUAAAAUAGAAACAAAGGUUGACAACAUAUCCUCUAAAGUUAAUAUUCUACCUCAAUCUAAACCAGAAACCCCUUCAGUCCAUUUCAGUGAAUUAAAUAAACCUACCCUAAAGCCUACUUCUUCAAUCCAAAAGAUCGAACAGAUGCUAGAAAAAUUAAAAAUUGAAUCACCAGGACCUAGUAGAAUUGCAGUAAUUCAUACCCAACAAACUUCUUCAUCCAUUUCUUUCGAUAACGAUUCUAGUGACACUAGCCAAAUUACAGAAAUAAACCAAAUACUUCAAACUUUAAAUAUAGAACCCUUCAAACUAGACAGAAUAAUUCAUUCAAAGAAGCGACCUUUUAAACUUUAGACAGAACGUCCCCUCCCUUUAGAUAUACAACCUAGUAGUUAUCCUAAUAAUCAAUUCUUAGUCUCUUCUGAUAAAACUUAUGAAUAGAACAUUGAUAAUUUAUCAGAACAAGAAAUCUUAAACAAAUUACAUCACAUGUCUUUGGCAGCCAAUAUGGCAGUCAAUAGAUAUGUCACUAAUCAUAAUUUCAGCCAGCCCGAAAUCAUUGACAUACUUUCCACAUGAUUUACAAGAAUGCUUCAUUCCUGGUGGGAAAAACAUCUCACUCCUGAUUCUAGAUCAUCCAUUAAACAUGCCAUUAAACGUGAUAAAGAGGGGACUCCCAUCUUUGACGAUCGCACAGGAAUGAAGAUUUCUAAUGCUGUUAAUACUUUAUUUUACACAAUUAUCUAACAUUUCAUAGGGACCCCCAGUCAUAUUACAUCCAGAAUUCAUGACCAACUCAGUAACCUUAGGUGUCCUACCUUAAGUGAUUUCAAAUGGUACAAAUAUGUUUUUAUUUCUCGAGUUAUGCUUAGAGACGAUAGUAACCAACAAUUUUGGAAAGAAAAAUUCAUAAAUGGUCUUCCAAAAUUAUUUGCUCAUAAAAUCAGGCAAGUCUGUAGUAAUGAAACAUGUCACAUUAACUACGAUUCUUUAACUUAUGGAAAUAUAAUUACAGUUAUCCAAAAAGAAGGUUUAAAAAUGUGUAUAGAUAUGAAACUAAAUGCCCAAAUGAAAUCAGAUAAGAAAACAACUAAAUAUGAACUAGGAAAUUUUUGUGAACAAUAUGGCUUACCUCCCUUACCUCCUUCACGAAGAAAAAAGACAAGCAAUAAAUUUAUUCCAUAUCAUUCAAAAAGAAAAUUUAAACCUUAUAAAGGCAACUUUGAACCAAACAACUUUUAUUCCAAAAACAAAUUCCGAAAAAAUUGGUCCAAAAAUCCAAAUCGACAACUAAAACAUAAAUCUUUUGAUAAAAGUAAAACUAAAUGUUUUAAAUGCAACAAGACAGGUCACUUUGCAAAUAACUGUCCAGUUAAAAGUACAAUUAAUCAAUUAAAAAUCAGUCAAGAAGAAAAAGAUAAACUUAUACAAACUUUAGAAUAACGAAAUACUGAUUCAGAAAAUGAAAUGAGUGAAGAUGACAUCACAUUAAUAGAAUCUUCUUCCUCUAAGUCCAAUGAACAUUCUUCCCCAUAUAUUACUUUUGGGUGUAAGGACGCAUGUAAUUGUAAAACAAUAAAUGUUCUCUCCAAGCAGGAAGAGAAAGAAAAACUAUUAAUUGAUUUAAUAGGUAAAAUAGAUAAUCCUGAACUUAAAGCCGAAUACCUUAAAAAAUUAAAAAAAUUAAUUACCCAAGAUCCUCCCUCACAAAAAAUUAGCUUUACUACAACUUUUGAUAAAUUUUCUGCUAGUAAAAAAGAAAUAACAAUCCAAGAUUUGCAACAUGAAGUAAAAACAAUCAAGAGUCAAAUACAUGCUUUACAACAAACACAUUUAGAUCUUACAAAUGACAAUAAAGAAAUUAAACAAGAAUUAAACUUACUAAAAAUAAAUAAUCAAAUUCUUCAAUUACAGGAUCCCCCUGAAAAUUCUAUUCCAAAUCCUUUUCCCGAAAAUAAUGAUGCUAAAAUUUCUGAAAACAAUACUAUUAGUAUCAUACGCCAAAUCCAACUUAAAAAAUGGUACACUACUAUCCAACUCAAAAUAAAAGAUUUCCAAAUAACAAUAACAGCCUUUAUUGAUUCAAGGGCAGACCUUAACUGCAUCCAAGAAGGCUUAAUACCUUCAAAAUAUUUUGAAAAAACAAAAUAGUCUUUACGUUCAGCUAUUGGGACAAAAAUGGAUAUUAAAUAUGAAAUCCCUAAAGCACAUAUAUGCCAAAACAAUGUUUGUUUCAAAACACCGUUUGUCUUAGUAAAAGAUCUAACCGAUAAAGUAAUUUUAGGACUUCCCUUUAUUACUUUAAUUUACCCUUUCAAAACUGAAUAUGAUGGUAUUAUUACCUACCCUUUUGGUGAACCAGUUAAAUUUACUUUUCUCUCUAACCUGAAAUCCAUACUCUGAAAGCAUUUCAAGAAAAUAACAUUUCAAAAACCCUUAAUUACAUCCAAAAAAAAUAACAAAUAGCAUUUCUUCAAGAAGAAAUUAAUUUCAAAAGAAUUGAAAAUCGACUCCAGAACUCUUUCUUCAGCGAAAAAUCAAAACUUUUGAAGAAAAAAUUAUCAAAGAAAUAUGUUCUGAUAUUCCUACUGCCUUUUGGCAUAGGAAAAACAUAUUGUUUCUCUUCCUUAUAUCAAAGAAUUCAACGAGAAAAAUAUCCCUACUAACUCGUCCAAUCCAAAUGAGUCAAGAGAUUAUGGAUUUCUAUAAAAACGAAAUCAAUGAUUUACUCAACAAAAACAUAAUUCGCCCUAGUAAAUCCCUUUGGUCUUGCCCUGCUUUCUAUGUUCAGAAAAAUGCUUAACUCUUGCCCUGCUUUCUAUGUUCAGAAAAAUGCUUAACUCGAAAAAGGAACUCCUCGAUUAGUCAUUAAUUAUAAACCUCUUAACACAGUCUUAGAAUGGAUCAGGUAUCCUAUUCCCAAUAAACGAGAUCUCAUUAACAGGUUAAACAAAUCUGUUAUCUUUAGUAAAUUUGAUAUGAAGUCAGGAUUUUGGCAGAUUCAAAUCAGUUAAACUGACAAAUACAAAACUGCAUUUGUCACACCCUUUGGUCAUUACGAAUGGAAUGUUAUGCCAUCCGGUUUAAAAAAUGCUCCUAGUGAAUUCCAAAACAUAAUGAAUGACAUAUCCAAUCCUUAUAGUCAUUUCUGCAUUGUCUAUAUUGACGAUGUUUUAAUAUUUUCACAAUCAAUUGAUCAACACUGGAAACAUUUACACCAAUUCUUUUCCAUAAUAAAGAAUAAUGGCUUAGCUGUUUCUGCUUCAAAAAUCAAAUUAUUCCAAACCAAUAUUCAUUUUCUUGGAUUUAAUAUUCACCAACUCCAAAUUAGACCCAUCGAUAGAGCAAUACAAUUUGCUGAUAAAUUUCCAUAUGUUAUUUUAGACAAAAAUUAAUUACAAAGAUUUUUAGGAUCUUUAAAUUAUGUAGCUGAUUUUUACAAAACCUUAGGAAACACUGUAAACCUCUAUUUGAUAGGUUACAAAAAAAACCCUUCCCCCAGGACAUCAGUUCACACAUCCUUAAUCAAAGAAAUUAAGAGCCAUGUUAAAACCCUACCAUGCUUAGGUAUCCCUCUUUCAGAUUCCUAUAAGAGAGUAGAAACUGAUACCUCUGAGAUAGGUUAUGGAGGUGUUCUCAAACAACAAGUUUCUCCCAAUCAUCCAGAACAAAUUGUUCGAUUUCAUUCUGGAAUCUGGAGCCAAGCCCAAUCAAAUUAUAGUACUAUUAAAAAAGAAAUUUUAUCAAUUGUUUUAUGUAUCAGUAAAUUUCAAGAUGAUUUAUUAAAUCAAAAAUUUUUGGUCAGAGUUGAUUGUAAAAGUGCAAAAGAUGUUUUAGAAAAAGAUGUUCAAAACAUUGCUAGCAAACAAAUUGAUUUUGAAAUUGCAUUCAUUAAAGGAAGUGACAACCAUAUCCCAUAUUUCCUAACUCGUGAAUUUCUACAGGGCACCAAAACAUGAAGCCCAGCUCAUCCAAAGGGAGAAAUCCCGGAAAAUCAAUGAGUCACCUCCCGUAGUCAAGAAAGCAUCACCUGAGUCACCCUCCAGCAUUGUUCCUUAUGCCAAUCUUUCCCCCAUUCCAAUAAACAAUAAGUAUAGCACUCUUGGCAGCACUUUCAGCCAAAAUAAACCCAGUUACCAAUCAGCUUUAGUAAACCAAUAUGACCCAUACCAAACAGAUUCCUCAUCUAACCCUCUAGUCAAUUAUAAGAAAUCAUCUCAUUACCUAGUCAGGGCUGAACAGUUCCUGUUUUAUGUUGAGUCUUCUAUGAGUCAUUUAAAAAAUCUCAUCCCUUUAGCAAAAAAUUAUUUUGACCAAAAUUCUCAUUACCAUCCCAGUAAACCUUUAGCAUUUUAUAAAGACAUCUUGUAUAAAUCUCAGUCAUUAUCCAUUAAACCAAUCCUGGACCCAAAAGAUCCAUCCAAAAUACUAUAUCAUUCCCUUUACAUAAUCCGUCUCAUUUCAUUAUCCCAAUGGGGUGAUCCCCCCUCUACUCCUCAUAAAUUAGACACACUCACAUUUACUUACCAUGAUUAUAUUGAAGCAUGGACUAAAAUCUUUCUCCACUAAAUUGAAGAUUUUAGCCAUUCAUGGUUCUUAAUUUUGAUAGAAGAUUCAAUCGCCAAUUCCCUAUGUGGUUUGGAGAUUGGUGGAAUAAUCAUGGUUGCCCUCAUGACCUUCUCCCCUCAAACCUCCAAGAUGCAGUCACUAAAUUUGCUUCAGUUAUGACCUUUUCAGAAUAUGAGAAAAGGUUUCCCCCCACUCUCCAAUUCAUGGCCAAAUAUAAAACUCCUUGGAUUUUCAAAUGGCAAUAUAAACUUCUACCUGAAGAUUAUAUGGUCUUACGACAACUUUUAGUCAAAUGGUGGGAUAAAUUCAAUUGUGAAAGAGUUUUAUCUCAAUUCAAUGAAGAAUUUUCAGUAAUUCCAUCUAGUUCCAGUCCUUUGAUCCCUAUUCAGUCAGCAUUUCCAAUCUCUCAGUUAAAAUCUCAGACUCCUCAGUCAUCGUCAUCUUCCAAGAAAAAAGUUACCAGUCCAUCUUCAUCCUCCAAAGCAGAAGAAUUGAAAGAACUGGCCAAACAAUUACAACAACAAGCGGCCAGUUUAUCCACAGAUGAUGAAGAAGAACAUUCUCCAUCAGAAUCAUUAUCAACUCAUAGUCAUCAAAGUUCUCCCAGUCAACCAACCAGAUGGGCCGAUUAUAAAGAUAGUCAAGACCCAUAUACUGAAUUUGUUUAAAGCAAGAUCAAGCCUAUUAAAAUUCUAGUCAUUAUUCCCCACCGAAAGUAUCAACAAUAAAAUCAGUGGCAAACAAAUUACUAUUCAUCAACAAUCAUCAACAGUAAAAUCAGUGGCAGACAAGUUACUAUUUAUGAAUAGUUAUUUUUUACUAUUCACUGCUUUGUAAUUUCUAUAUAUAGACGUCUCUGGCUUCAGAGCAGGCAGGCUUCAAUUUUUCCUCUCUUCUUCUCUCUCUCUUUCUCCAGUAAACUAAAGUAUUGUAAAGAGAGCUCUGGCUCUUAUUCAUGCAUUGAUUUAAAUUAGUAAGUUUGUAAACGCUUUAUUAAACUCAACUAAAGCUUCUUUAUUAUAUUAUUACAUAUGCUUCCAUCUUAGUGGUAUCACAUAAUUGAUCAUCUUAACAGUUCAAUCAUAGUCUCACCUUUCAAAAUCUUCUCAAUCCCCAGGUGGCGGACUACCGCCUAGGAGUGGAGCUUGAGUUGAUCCAUUUUGUUUACUUAUUUUGUGAGGUAUUUUGUUUCCUGUCCCUUAGUUUUAAGGAUUUUGGUUUUAUUUUCUUUUACUUAUCUCCUUCUAAGCCUAUUAUUCUCUUUACCCAAACAAUAAGUCCAGGUCCAAACACUAAGUCUCAGGAGAGCAUGAGCGGUGUAGAGUGAGUGAUAGUCUUUAGGGUGUAUAUAUAUAUAUAAUUAAAUUCAAUUUACCCUCAUGAGGUUUGGGAGUAACUUCAUGUUAAUCCAUAUACUUUCAAUUUCAUCAGUUUACCCCUCAAACUUUUGAAUUUUCCUCAAACGUGACCAAUGUCCUAUAUUCUGUCCAAAUCGGACGUUAACUGUUGAUAAUUAAUGUGAGGCCCGUAUCUAGAAUUUGGGCAAAUUGGACCUUAUCUGUCCAAAUCUAACCUUAACUGCUGAUAAUUAAUGGUCAAUUCAAACGGCAUAUGAGAAUUUAGGCACGGCAGAUAGAAAUUGAAGAGUUCAAGGGAUAAACUGAUGAAAAUAAAAGUGUAGGGACUAACAUGAAGUCACCCCCAAACCACAAGGGAGUAAACUGAAUUUAAUUAUAUNNNNNNNNNNNNNNNNNNNNNNNNNNNNNNNNNNNNNNNNNNNNNNNNNNNNNNNNNNNNNNNNNNNNNNNNNNNNNNNNNNNNNNNNNNNNNNNNNNNNNNNNNNNNNNNNNNNNNNNNNNNNNNNNNNNNNNNNNNNNNNNNNNNNNNNNNNNNNNNNNNNNNNNNNNNNNNNNNNNACGGAGGGAAUCCGCACCGUAAACGUCCGUAUCUGAAAUGGACUGUAUAUAUAUAUAUAAAAACAUGUUUAAUCUAUUUUUAGUUUAAUAUACCAUGUUUAUAUAAAAUAUGAUAAAAUUUUCAUUGAUAUUCCAUAUUUUCUUAACAUAAUUUAUUUUAAUUAUAUAGUUUAAUUUAUUUUAUCUUGUUUUGCUUAACAUGUAACUUCAAAAAUAUAUACAUACAACAGUUCUACUAACUUUUAUCACUAUUGUUGCAAAAAUAAAUGUUUAAUUUUGUAGAGUUUUUUUUUUUGGAAUAUUUUUGCUAAAGUAAAUUGUUCUAUUUGUAUUUGAUAACCUUAAAAAAUAAAUUAUUUUGUUAACUUUAACAAUAUAUUUAUUGAAAUGACAAAAAUGCCCUCAAAAUUUAACGGUGUUAAUGGUCAGGGGUAUCAAAAUGCUAACGGAAUGAAACUUCGGGUAUGAAAAUGUAAGUUUUUGAUAUUGUGGUCAUGGUAUAAGAAUGAAACAAAGCAAUUAGCACCAAAGGAAAUAUCAUCAAUGGUUCUCUCUAAGAUGCGUGAAAUAGUGGAAAUGUAUCUUGGAUCGGUAGUAAAGAAUGCAGUAGUAACUGUCCCAACAUAUUUUAUUGACUCUAACGACAUGCUACAAAGGACGCUGGUUUAAUUGUCGGUAUGAACGUUAUACUUAUCAUCAAUGAGUCAACAACUGCAGCAAUUGCAUUUGAUCUUGAUAAAAAAGGCGCUGGUGGGGAGAAUGUUCUCAUAUUCGAUCUUGGUGGCGGUACCUUUGAUGUUUUCAUUCUUAAAAUUGAAGAUAAGAUUUUUAAAGUGAGAGCUACUGAUGGAGAUACCCAUCUUGUAGGUGAAGAUUUUGACAAUAGAAUGGUGAACUAUUUUGUACAAGAGAUUGUGAAGAGACACCAGAAGGACAUCAACAAAAACCCUAAACCAUUGAGAAGAUUAAGAUCGUAUUGUAAGAGCAUAGGCACCGGUUAACUCUAUCACAGCAAAAAUCAUGAUGUUUGUUAUAUUGAUGGUAAGAAAUAAUGCAGCAGAGACAAAUUGAUGGCAAAUGCAUGAGUGGGACCUAUUUAACUCCAUCAUAAAAUCAGAGAGGCAAGCAAUAUUUGCAUGCCGGAGUGAUUACCAUCAACUGGCGGGACCCACGCACGUGGGCUCCUGCCAACAGCUUUAUUUUAUUUUUAAAUCUAGCACGUGUAACACACGCGCCUUUAUAAAAAAUAAAAAUAAAAAAUAAAAUAAUAAAAAAGAAAAGGGUCAGACAGCUGCAGAGCCGUUGGCCAUUUAUGGGUUGCCACGUGGCACCCGGUCUGGUGCAACGGCUCUUUCAGCCCAACGGUAAUUUUUUUUCUUACCCCGAGAACUGUAAAACAACCCUAAAUUUUUUCCUAUAAAUACCCCAUUUUUUUCUUUACAAUUUGCAUCACUUUUCUCUUAUCUCCUCUCAUCUCCUUCCAUCUUCCCUCACAAUUUCUUUUAGUGUUCUUUGAAAAUGGGUUCUAAUUGGCUUCCUUCCGAAGAGUUACAAUUGUGUGUUUCUUGGGUACAACAAUCCACUUACAAACAUCACCGGUCGAUAUCAAAACAAAGACAAUUUGUGGAAAAAAGUUCAUGACGAUUACGUCAAAAAUUGGUGUGAUGAUCCCGAAAAUCCUCCAGCCGAGCCUCGUACGAAAGUUGCGCUCAAAUCACAUUUUCCGCGUUUGAAGAAAUUGCUCAAGAAGUGGCAUAAAUGUCUAUACAAAUCAAGAAACCGUGCGGCUAGCGGGACGAAUUUGGUAGAUGAGGUAUGCCUAACUGACGUGUCGCGUAACCGGGGUCAAACAACUUCAAUUUAAUUACCCUGCAAUCGUAGUAAUAUGGACAAGUAGGGAUCGUUCUAGCCAGGGAAACCAAAGGGCGAUCGAAAGAAGAGAAAUCAAACAACUUAUAAACAAGUAUUCACAUAUAUACAUCGAAAUAUUGGGGGUUUAAGAUUGAUUAAUUCUAACAAAUAAUCGAAUGAAAAUUAAACCUAAGAUUAUUAUAUACAAGUGAUCAACAUACUCAUGCAACACAUAACACAAAAAACCAUCAAGAACACAUAACAACUUCAUGCAAGGCCGGGCAGCAACGUUCAAAUUAUCCUAGACUCUAACCAAUUCCGAUUCUAAUUAGAGCCGUUGCGGUUAUCUAAUUGUUAAGACUCCUCAAGUAUUUAGAACCAUCUUUGCGCUUGAUCCUAAACAUGAAUGCUAACUCAUUUAAAGACACGUUGCAUAGAGAUUAAACAAGAAAACACUUUAGCACACGAGUCAAUCGGAAACAUGAUCUAAGGCAUGGCGUCACUCAUCCUAUUAGCAUGCAAAUUAUCAGAAUUAUAUCCGCCCUAAGUUAAUAACAAAGACCAAGACAACUUUGCGUAUGAAUCGAUCUAAAAUUAUUAUGGUAGAUGAAACCACACCUUAAGGACAACCAUGGCUGAGGCAGCCUCAAGGAUUGAUUUAGAUGCACAAAUUCAUGAUAAUUAAUCAAUUAGAAAUCAAAAACACAUAAGAACAUGCUACUGCCCUAAAACCUAAAUCACGAAAUCAUCAUAUAUUCAAGAAGUUACAAAUCAAAACAUAGAACAAUCAAAGAUCACAAAGAAAUCCGAAAACNNNNNNNNNNNNNNNNNNNNGAAUCGGCUAAGUAAUUUUCUGUAUAGGGUUUGGUAGAGUUUCGGCUAUGUAAUUGCAAGAGUAGAGAUCAUCCCCUUCUGCCCUUGAAGUCAUGCUUUAUAUAGAGGAAAAACCCUAGAGAAGCCGGCCACAAAGUUGAAACCAAGUUGGUUUAGGUUUCCCUAGUUUUUCUCAAUUCGGCAGAAUGACCUCCGUCUGAUGAUUACGUCAUAACUCCCUCUAGAAAAUAGAUAUUGAGGUGAUUCCAAUUGAUUUGGAAACUAGACUCCCCUAGCUCUCUAUCCAUAUCUAGCACGUUUCUGAUUCAUUGUGAGCUGUCCUGGAGAGUCCGUUAAAGUUGAGAGACGUGCACAGGAAUUUUCCCGAAAUUAAUCAGGGUUUUCAAGACUUGGAUAUUCCUUGAUAUUCUGCCGAAUUUAGAUCUUCUUCUCCAUAUUGGACUUGGUUUGGACCUCUCCUUUCAUGGACUAGGCUUCGUGGAUCAACUGCUUUGCUUCCCUAGGUUCAUCAGGAACACUUCUCUCGGCAGGUAGUAGGUUACUCUGUUCAUGACUCUUCUACAUGUCACCUAAGUAUCAGAGAAAUUAAAUCAAUUUGUGACAAUGUAAAAGCUUUACAGAAUCAUAAGAACAUCUCUAAGGUUCCACAAAUCGGCUUUUGACAAUUUUCUACACCGUUCCUCUAUGUUUAACACGUUUCACGCACAACUCUACCAAAACUUUCGACUCUACAUUAUGACUCUAUUCUACGACAAUAAGAGAUAAUNNNNNNNNNNNNNNNNNNNNAGAAGUUUUUAGCUAUUUUUCAUAAUAUGCAAUGUAAUCAAAAAGCACUUUUGGAGGCUAACAUGCAAAGAGACGAGGAAACCCUUCGGUUGGCUAGGGAGAGCUUAAAACUUGAGAAACGAAAGGAAGCAAGGUUGGCCCGACGUGAUGUUAUGGCGGAGUUGUAAGAAGAAACCAAAAUUAUCAAUGGAUACAAGCAUCAUGACCCCGAAAAGUUUGAAGUGGCACAAAAAGAGGAAAUCGGAUAUCAUGGCGAAAAUGAAUGAGAGUACUAGUACUAGUGAUGAUUAUUAUGUUCCCCUUUUUGAUGAAGACUAAUAUUGUGUUGUUGUUAUAAUUUCAAUUUUAUGUUCCUCAAUUUCAAGUUAUUUUUAUAUAAAAUAAUUUUAUGUUUUAAUACUAGUAAUUUUAUGUUCCUCAAUUUCAAUACCAAUUAAAAUUACAAUACCAAAUAAAAAUACAAUACCAAAUAUUACAAUACCAAAUAAAACUCCACAACUUGAUUAUUAUUGGUUGGCCCAAUGCCCAAUUGUGCUCCACUAAAUCAUUCUGAAGAAUUGUGUGGAUAUAAGCUGACUCGAGGUGGUCAAUACGGUCCCAAAAUGCAUGUUGGUUUCUUCCAUUUCUUUCCACUGGUAAAAAAAGAAUUCGAACCCCCUCAUGAUAUACUGGCCCAUCAUAAACUUUUGCCGCCAGUGGGUUCAAUAGAUCUUCUUUUUCUGGCUCGACAAAUUCUUCUUCUACAAAUUCAUCCUCUACGAUCAUGUUAUGCAAUAUGAUGCAAGUUAUCAUUAUGUUUCUCAGUGUCAAACUCCUGUGCAACCAAGCUCCAUGAAGAAGGAUUGCCCAACGGGAUUGCAGGAUGCCGAAACACUUCUCUACAUCUUUACGGUAUGCUUCUUGUUUCUUUGCAAAUAGUUUUUUUGCUUGCGAUUCAGGGUUUGGAAUAGUUUUUACAAAUGUGGAGUACCUAGGAUAAAUUCCGUCAGCAAGAUAAUAAGCAUUGCUAUAUCUCCUACCGUUUGCAUGAAACGUCACAGCCGGGCUGUUUCCAGCAAUAAGCCCUUCAAAGACCGGUGAUUGGUUGAGCACGUUAAUAUCAUUUUGAGCUCCUGGCACACCAAAGAAAGCGUGCCAUACCCACGUGUCAUGCGAGGCCACCGCCUCUAGAAUAAUGGUGGGACGACCCUUCCGACCACUAUAAGCCCCAUCCUGCAUAUCUCAGCACACUGAUCAGCAGCUGCUCCGUACGCCAACAUUCGGUGGGCACCUGUCAUCUUCUGUUGGGGCAGCAACCCUAGUUUUCCAGUGGCAUCUGCUUUUUGAUGCCAAUAAGGGUCGUGGUUACAGAGAACCGUCAUGAUGCGGUUGAAUAGAUGUGUGUGCAUUCGGUACCUCCGACGAAAUUCUUCCUCCCUAAAGAUCGGACGCUCGAUGAAGUAAUCUGUCAUGAGACUUGUUCCCCCAGCUACCCUAUGUCUGGGGUGAUUAGGAGAGCGACCAGGACGCAAACCGCGUUCUUGUGGUUCAUCUGAAGUAUCAAGAUGUACCAUCAUCAUGGUCGCGUUAGUCAUCAUGGCAUCCAUCGUCUCAGCGUCCUCUUGACUAUGUUGUUGCCUCUGCUUCAACAAUAAAACUCAUCGUAAUGAUGAGGAAAUGUGGCGAAGUAAUUGAGGGAAUGUGUUUUUGAAGAUUUGUAACUGAGUUGUGAAGAUUGUGUGAGUAGAAAGGGUGAUGAAGCUUAUUUAUGGUCAAUUUCAAAUGCCAAGAACUUGAAGAUCAUGUUACGUGUCGAAUCAUCAUUCGUCGAAAAUCCUAUCGAAAAUCCAAUGACAUUAUUUGGCCGACAAACACACACGUGUCACUUUUUGGUUGAUCAGAAAUCCUAUAACAUUAUUUGGGUGAUCACAACAUCUGACAAUGCCACGUGUCGUCUAGUGAUUGAUUGAUUAUCAUUUAUGAAAUCCAAAAAAUAAAAGAUUAAAUCGAUGAAUAGUGAUUGCUAAAUUGACGGAGCUGCACCGCUGCAUGAAAACAGGCCCAUAAAAGCAAUUUACAAUGAAUAGUAAUUGAUGGAAGCAAUUUAAUUGAUGGUUUGAUGGAGUUGAAUGGGUGCAUAUGCCCUAAGAGAGCAAAGAAGACUAUUUCUUCAACUGUUGAAACCACAAUUGAAAUUGAUUCUCUAAUUGAGGGAACAAACUUUUAUUCCAAAAUAACAAGAGCCAAAUUUGAGGAGCUUAAUAUGGAUCUCUUUAAAAAAAAAUGUAUGGAACCUGUGGAGAAGUGUAUGAAGGAUGCCAAAAUAGACAAUAACAUCAUUGAUGAUAUUGUUCUUGUCGGCGGGUCUACUAGAAUUCCAAAGAUACAACAAUUAUUGCAUGAGUUUUUUUAAUGGUAAGGACCUUUGCAAAAGCAUCAAUCCAGAUGAAGCAGUUGCAUUUGGUGUUGCAGUCCAAGCUGCAGUUUUGAGCGGUGGUGUUGAGAAAGUUCAGGAUUUACUCUUGUUGGAUGUAACUCCACUUCCCCUUGGUGUGUGGCGUUAUAUGUCACAUCCCGACCCUUAUAUUUUUACCUUAUUUACUAGCGUGAUGAUAAUAAGAAUUUUACCGUCUUGAUCAUGAGUAAAUAGUUUAAUUGGUCCCUAGAGGGGUUUCGGGGACGAUUAUGUGCGGAGGAUAAUUCGUAUGAGGAAAAUACGACGACGGUAAAAAUGGUAAUUUUAGCUAGUAAAAGGUAAUUUUUAUUCGGGUAUUAUUUUUCAGGGUGUUUUUAUUUUGGAAGUUUGGGUUAAAAAGGGGUGUUGGGUCGGCUGGGCCGAGCCCAACCCAUUUCUUUCUUCUUUCUCUUCUCUCUCUCUCCCGAUUCUCUCUCCUCCCACCCGAUUUUCUUCUCACUACACCCAGCAGAAUUCCGGCCGUCCUCCCGCCGCCGUCCGACCUCCGUUCGCCGCCGGACCGGUCCCGUUCGGUCGGUCUCCCUCCCAGCAACAUUUCUAGACCGGUGACAGCCCCCCUAGCGCCGCCGUGAGUGAGCGGUGCCGCCCGAAAGAACCGACUGCCCCGAGCUUCCCUUCGCCGGAACUUCCUCCUCCGGCCACCAAUCCGGGCAAGCUUGGUACGGUUUUGUAGCCCUCCUCCCGUGCAACAACCCCUCCAAGCAGCUCCCUCCCUCUUGAGCUAGGUAAGGAGAAAUGUGGAGUUGAAAUUUCUAGGCUUUUAAGUUAUUUUCGUUCGAUUAGCCUAGUUAGGCUUGGAAUUGGGUGAUGUGUUGGUCAUGAAAGUUGUAGAGGAGAUUGAGAGGAAGAUUUUGUUAAAAUUUGGUAGCAUUUGCAGGUCGCCGGAAAACGGCUGCCGGCGGCGCCGCCGCCGGUUAGGAGAAUUUUAUGGUUUUUGAUGUAGAAUAUUAAGGGGAUAUUAUUGAAGUGAAUUUUGGAAUUUUUGGAUGAGAUUUGGAUAGGUUUGUGAAUUUCCGAAGUGUGGUAUUUUUGGCGGGUAAUUAAUGUAGAAUCCGGCCGUUGGAUUUAAGUCGUAUUUUGGGGAGGUUGUAUUUACGACUAUUGAGUAUGAUAUUUAAGUUCGGAUCGUUCCGAUGUAAGAAUAUCGAAGUUAGGCAAUGAUGAGCGUAAUUAUGGCUCUCGGGUAAUUUUGCCUAUUUUGAUUAAAUAUUGGAUUAUUGGUUGGGAAAUUAAUAUUUUAUUUGGAACAGGACGUGAGGAGGCUCGAGCAGACGAGACCCCAGAUCGACAGCAGGCUUAGGCCUAAUUUGUGAGUGGACUUUGUUUUAAAUAAAUGCAUGCUAAGUUCACG
rnacentral:lncRNA from 1 species